rnacentral:rRNA from 1 species
UACGGGGGGAGCAAGCGUUGUUCGGAUUUACUGGGCGUAAAGGGCGCGUAGGCGGCCAGCACAAGUCAGUUGUGAAAUCUCCGAGCUUAACUCGGAAAGGUCAACUGAUACUGUGCGGCUAGAGUGCGGAAGGGGCAACUGGAAUUCUUGGUGUAGCGGUGAAAUGCGUAGAUAUCAAGAGGAACACCUGCGGCGAAGGCGGUGGUCUGGGCCGGCACUGACGCUGAGGAGCGAAAGCGUGGGGAGCGAACAGG